UGAAAAAAUGAUGGAGUUGCACUGCCAAAUGGAAACAGGAGCAGCUGUGCUACCUCUGGUCUCCUGAGCAUACAGAGAAGGCAAACAGCAUUCCUUUAUUGUCCUGGCCUAAGGCUGCAAUACAAGAAAGACAAAACUCUUCUAUCUUAAGAUUUUCUUAAGGUGAAAUCAAGAAAGCCAGCAAGGAUGGCGUGGGCAGACAAGUCCAAAAGUUGCUGAAGGCCUAAGGGCAGAAAAAGGAGAUGAAGCACAAGAUUCGGCACAUCAAACUCAGUGUCAGCUCUGUGGGGACAGCAAGCACACACCUGCAACCAUGAGUGCUCUCAACCUCCCUGUGGCUGAGCCAGCAGGACAUUGUGCCUAUCCAUCCCGACUGAUGCCUGCUCUGCAUCUCCAUCACUGCAUCUCCGUCCCUUCCUUGGUCAUUUGCUAAGUCUGAGCUGCUCCCUUUCCAUCCAAAGAGCUCACUUUUACCUGACAGGGUUUGGUGGCUUGCAGUGACUCCUGGGAGUUAGGGUGAAAUCAUAUGAAUUUUUACUGGCAGGAAGGAAAAGAUGAGUAGGCUAAGGAGGGUGGGGAGUAAUCUCUUAGAGUUGUAACUGAGAGAGGAAGAUAAAUCAGACUUUGGACUGUAGAUGUCAGGGAGCAAACCAGGGCUCUUAAUUCCUGCACAUGGGCAUGCAUCAAAUAUGAGUCCUACCCAUCUUCACAUGUGGCUUUCCCACUGAAUCUGGAAGGAGGGAAGGAAUCAGUGAAAGGUGAAUGCUCUUGGCAAACUACUUCAUUAAAAGUGAAUACCUCCACUCCCCUGUCUUACAGAAACUGGUGUAAGCCUGGAAGGGUACUAUGAAAGCUCCCAUUCAGUGGAAUUUUCCACUUGGCUAAUAUACAUAUGCAUGCUGUGUGCUGCUGGGAUGCUGGCAGGGUGGAUGCAGGGACUACAGAAUGAGUGGCUUCUUGGUGCUUCAAGUACAGGAAAAAUAUAAGAGGAUAAUAAUAAGAAAUGGCUUAUAAAAGCCAGCUCUUGAAAGUACUAUAAAAU
rnacentral:lncRNA from 1 species